AUGGGUGGCGAGUGGCGGACGGGUGAGGAAUACAUCGGAAUCUACCUUUUCGUGGGGGAUAACGUAGGGAAACUUACGCUAAUACCGCAUACGACCUUCGGGUGAAAGCAGGGGACCUUCGGGCCUUGCGCGGAUAGAUGAGCCGAUGUCGGAUUAGCUAGUUGGCGGGGUAAAGGCCCACCAAGGCGACGAUCCGUAGCUGGUCUGAGAGGAUGAUCAGCCACACUGGAACUGAGACACGGUCCAGACUCCUACGGGAGGCAGCAGUGGGGAAUAUUGGACAAUGGGCGCAAGCCUGAUCCAGCCAUACCGCGUGGGUGAAGAAGGCCUUCGGGUUGUAAAGCCCUUUUGUUGGGAAAGAAAAGCAGUCGGCUAAUACCCGGUUGUUCUGACGGUACCCAAAGAAUAAGCACCGGCUAACUUCGUGCCAGCAGCCGCGGUAAUACGAAGGGUGCAAGCGUUACUCGGAAUUACUGGGCGUAAAGCGUGCGUAGGUGGUUGUUUAAGUCUGUUGUGAAAGCCCUGGGCUCAACCUGGGAAUUGCAGUGGAUACUGG
rnacentral:rRNA from 1 species